rnacentral:misc_RNA from 1 species
UAUGGAACCAUCAUCAGGCUCUACAUUUAUACUAACAUAUGAUAGGUAAGAUACGGUACAAGGAGGCCGGUUUUACUCCAUCAACCUGAGAUUAUUUAACAGGACAGAGCUCAUUGAUGUUCCAAUUCCUUUUGGAAGUCUGCAUCAUCGACAAGGACAGUCUUCCAACCAUCAGGAUCCAGAAAGGAAACAAUUUUUGUGCCG